UUUGUAUUAAGAAAUUGUAACAAUCAAGGAUUUCCCUUCUGUUUUCAAUGACUCAUGUAUGCAUAUUAUUUAAAUGUAAACUACCAUUUUUAUGAAUGAGUGGUCAUCUCAUAUGUUUAUAGAUUGAGAAACAAAUAUUGAUUGUUGUCCUUCAUUCCAUGUGUUUCAGACUUCCACAGUGUUACUCUGGAUAUCAAAACUGUACUUCCAGUUGACUAAAGACCAUUUCCGCCUGGAUGUACUACCAGUACUGGGCAAGAAAGGAAGAAGAAUGAAACUAUUUGUGUUAUGGAGCACAGUUUAUCAGAUAAUCCCUGCACUGGAAAGUAUUGUUUACCAGAUAUCAACAAAAUGGUAUUCUUUUUCGUAUUUGACAUUACCUUGAAUAGUUAAAUGUAAAUAAAUAAAGAAAAAUUUUAAAAUGUAAAAUGCAUAUUUUAUGCUCUUUCCAAUAUUAACACUCAGAAUUGCAUAUUUCAUCUAAUUAUUCUAAAUGCAUAUGAACAAUUUUGAAUUAUUUGCUCUGUAUAAUCUCUUAUGAAUCCUACAAGGAGAAAAGAUGAGUUGUAAGAUUAUCAAGACAUCAGCCUAAACUAUUAACAGAAAAUACAAUGGUUAGUCACUUGAUAUAUAAUUUUGCAUAAAAUUACAUCUUAUGGUUCUUUCAGACCAUUUCUAAUACUAUAUAAAUAUGCACACACUUACAACAUGUACAUUUUCUGUUAAUUUAUUUUGCCUUGAGAGUAUUACCCAUGUCUUUAUUGGUAUCAAUUUAGAAUAAGACUUAACUAAUACUACCAGGGCCUUACUAAGUGAGGGAUAUAAUUGGACAUUUAGAUGAUAAACAUCUAGAGAUCAAUUUUAUAUUAGUAAGGCAUGGCUUAAUUCAAUAUAUUCAUCUCUAUGUGUAUGCUAUUGAUAUAGUAUCCCUUUUUUGGGUGUACAGUUUUCUGAUCUCAGCAUAUUUUCUUUUUUAAAAAAAGUAAGACUGAACCAAGCUAGCAGCUUGUAUCAUGUGAGCAAUUUAAACACAGAGAUCCAAUAGCAACACUUAAAACCUGGGAACUCUAGUGCAUGCUAUAGCAUUCUCAAAUCUUUAAUGGUUACAAAUAUACCCAGAAUGAAGACGGUGUAUUUUCUGUACCAUAUUUGAAUCAAUUUUUCAAUCUACAACUUAAAAUAAUAGCAAUUUGUUUUAGAACUCUUCUGUGGACUAAUGUGUGUAAUGCUGAACUGAGAGUUUCCAAGAGUUCCUUGAGGAGAAAAAAGUUCUCCCUUUUAAAAGCAGGCAUUCAAAAUUCUCCAUAUGCAUGUAAUAAUAGAUAACAUCUGGUAUUCUGAAUGUUAAUGUUGGGAGCAACUUUCAAAAUCUACAACUUUUAUAUUUUUUUCAUUUCUGCAUUUCUUUAUAUUUAAUCCUUUAAGAUAAAGACCCGUGCAUAUGUCUGUUUCCCCCAGCUGAGUGGUGUUAGGGAGGUGAGAGAAGUACACUGAAUUAAGUAUAAGGCUCACUUUGUUGAUUCUGUUCCUUUGUGACUUCAUGGAGGAUUGCCCUGACUCACUAAAGUGGGUCUUGUUUUGUGCUCAAAAAGCAUUCACACCCUGUGCAGUCAUAAUUUUUCAUUCAUAGAGACCCAGUCAUGCAAAAUAAUCGUAAUUUCUUAUGGCCUCCUCUUUGGGUGUCUCUAUUUAUCUGGAUUUCAGAAAGUAGGGUACCUUGUUAGGGAGUGGUUUUUCUGACUGACUGAGGAAAUCUAUUCACCUCGCGCUGGCCCAGUGACCUUCUGUUUCCAUUGCCAGAUUUAAUAGGCUCUUCUAGCAGGGCCUUACAGUUUCACAAUCUAUAAGCCAUUAGCUAAAGCUAUACCAAACCAAUGAGAAUCAAUUCCAGCAUAUGUGGGAUUUCGAUUUUAUUGCCCAAGAGUCAAU
ensembl:lncRNA